rnacentral:rRNA from 1 species
AUUGAACGCUGGCGGCAUGCCUUACACAUGCAAGUCGAGCGGCAGCGCGGGGGCAACCCUGGCGGCGAGCGGCGAACGGGUGAGUAAUACAUCGGAACGUGUCCAGUAGCGGGGGAUAACCUGUCGAAAGAUAGGCUAAUACCGCGUACGACCUACGGGUGAAAGCGGGGGACCGCAAGGCCUCGCACUAUUGGAGCGGCCGAUGUCGGAUUAGCUAGUUGGCGGGGUAACGGCCCACCAAGGCGACGAUCCGUAGCUGGUCUGAGAGGACGACCAGCCACACUGGAACUGAGACACGGUCCAGACUCCUACGGGAGGCAGCAGUGGGGAAUUUUGGACAAUGGGCGCAAGCCUGAUCCAGCCAUGCCGCGUGAGUGAAGAAGGCCUGGUGUA